rnacentral:rRNA from 1 species
GUGCCAGCAGCCGCGGUAAUACCGGCAGCCCGAGUGAUGGCCGAUCUUAUUGGGCCUAAAGCGUCCGUAGCUGGCUACGCAAGUCCGUCGGGAAAUCCACCUGCUCAACGGGCGGCCGUCCGGCGGAACCUGUGUGGCUUGGGACCGGGAGGCCUGAGGGGUACGAUCGGGGUAGGAGUGAAAUCCCGUAAUCCCGAACGGACCACCGAUGGCGAAAGCAUCUCGAGAAAACGGAUCCGACAGUGAGGGACGAAAGCUAGGGUCUCGAACCGGAUUAGAUACCCUGGUAGUCC